rnacentral:tRNA from 1 species
CGGGGCGUAGCUUAGCUUGGUAGAGCGCCUGGUUUGGGACCAGGAGGUCGGAGGUUCGAAUCCUCUCGCCCCGA